AUGCACGAGUCUGAAGCUUCCUUCGCUCGUGUAACGCUCCAGUCUGAUCCGCAACCCUCCUCCAACCGCGCCUCCCUCGGAUUCGCAAGCACAUUCACGACACUCCAUAAUCCUUGUCGCAAAUCCCAACUCGGACCUCCUCUCAAUCUCCCUCCGUCAAUCUUCCAACUCACCACGCUAACCACGCCUCACACAAACUCUCCUUCAACCGGACACCGCGCCUCUCGUCUAGAUCUGUUGCGCUCAACUGUCGGUGCCCAGCUCCAUUGA